rnacentral:tRNA from 1 species
GCCUUACUGGUACCUGGUGGAAUGGCGACACUGGCGAAUUGAAAAUCCCCGUGUCGGCGGUUCGAUUCCGUCCCUGGGCACCA